rfam:Candidatus Nomurabacteria bacterium RIFCSPHIGHO2_02_FTLL_42_19 rifcsphigho2_02_scaffold_2367, whole genome shotgun sequence.
CGGGCCGUAGUAUACCGGUAGUACGUAUCCUUCGGGAGGAUAUAGAUUGGGUUCGAUUCCCAACGGCCCGA